rnacentral:tRNA from 1 species
UGUCCUAUGGUGUAAUGGUAGCACAGGAGGCUCUAACCCUCCAGGUCUGGGUUCGAUUCGAUAGUGGGACAA